rnacentral:rRNA from 1 species
UACGUAGGGCGCAAGCGUUAUCCGGAAUUAUUGGGCGUAAAGAGCUCGUAGGCGGUUUGUCGCGUCUGCCGUGAAAAGUCCCGGGGGCUCAACUCCGGAUCUGCGGUGGGUACGGGCAGACUAGAGUGAUGUAGGGGGAGACUGGAAUUCCUGGUGUAGCGGUGAAAUGCGCAGAUAUCAGGAGGAACACCGAUGGCGAAGGCAGGUCUCUGGGCAUUAACUGACGCUGAGGAGCGAAAGCAUGGGGAGCGAACAGG